rnacentral:rRNA from 1 species
AUACGUAGGGUGCGAGCGUUGUCCGGAAUUACUGGGCGUAAAGAGCUCGUAGGUGGUUUGUCGCGUCGUCUGUGAAAUUCCGGGGCUUAACUCCGGGCGUGCAGGCGAUACGGGCAUAACUUGAGUACUGUAGGGGAGAUUGGAAUUCCUGGUGUAGCGGUGAAAUGCGCAGAUAUCAGGAGGAACACCGGUGGCGAAGGCGGGUCUCUGGGCAGUAACUGACGCGGAGGAGCGAAAGCAUGGGUAGCGAACAGGAUUAGAUACCCUGGUAGUCCAUGCCGUAAACGGUGGGCGCUAGGUGUAGGGGUCUUCCACGACUUCUGUGCCGUAGCUAACGCAUUAAGCGCCCCGCCUGGGGAGUACGGCCGCAAGGCUAAAACUCAAAUGAAUUGACGGGG